GACGAACCGUGCGAACGUUGUUCGGAAUCACUGGGCUUAAAGGGCGCGUAGGCGGCUUGCCAAGUCAGUGGUGAAAUCCCACAGCUUAACUGUGGAAGUGCCUUUGAUACUGGCGAGCUCGAGGGAGGUAGGGGUAUGUGGAACUUCUGGUGGAGCGGUGAAAUGCGCAGAUAUCGGGAGGAACACCAGCGGCGAAGGCGGCACUCUGGGCUGGUACGUGGACGCUGAGGAGCGAAAGCGUGGGUAGCAAACAGG
rnacentral:rRNA from 1 species